rnacentral:lncRNA from 1 species
GCUUCCAGGCUUAGCCUCUCCUACUUAUCUUGAUGGCAGGUACAUACAUUCAAGAUCAUAUUUUUUUGUUGCCUUUAUAAUUGGGUUAUCCAGUUGUUUUCUAAAAACUUAAAUAAUUAUGCGUGUAGUCUUGAUUCUUUUUCAUGAGCCAAGUAUGUUGUUUUUUUAAAUAAAAAAAAUAUUCGGUGGCGGUAAGACUUAAUCACAGGACUAGGUCUGCUCGAUAUCAUAUUGAAUUGUGUGACUACCUCAUCCGAAAACUUAAGCUAUUACAAAGAGCAUACUUUUACUAAUGGUUUUUAGCCUUGUUCUAAUACUCGAAUGCUUGCUUGUCUUAGUCUCCCAGGAGACAAUGGUUUUGAUCCAUUGGGACUUGCUGAGGACCCAGAGAACUUGAAAUGGUUCGUCCAGGCUGAACUGGUGAACGGUCGUUGGGCUAUGUUGGGUGUUGCUGGGAUGCUGCUGCCUGAGGUUUUCACUAACAUUGGAAUCCUUAACGUGCCCAAAUGGUAUGAUGCUGGAAAAGAAGAGUACUUUGCAUCUUCAUCCACCCUGUUCGUGAUCGAGUUCAUCUUGUUCCACUACGUCGAGAUCAGAAGGUGGCAAGACAUCAAGAACCCAGGAAGUGUUAACCAAGACCCCAUCUUCAAGAACUACAGCUUGCCUCCUAACGAAGUUGGAUACCCUGGUGGUAUUUUCAACCCACUCAACUUUGCACCAACUGCUGAGGCCAAAGAAAAGGAAAUUGCUAAUGGUAAGUCCAACUACCACAACCCUGUUAUAUUUCAUGUACGAUCACUAAACUUGAUCCACUGUAACAAUAAAAUACCAUAACUAAUUUUUUCACAUGAAGUAACUGAACUUUAUCUACUAUAAUAGUAACAUCACUAACUUUCACAUGGAUAAUAUGCAGGGAGAUUGGCAAUGUUGGCAUUUUUGGGAUUCAUAGUGCAGCACAAUGUAGUAGGAAAGGGACCUUUUGACAACCUUCUGCAACACCUCUCCGACCCAUGGCACAACACCAUUGUCCAAACACUCGGCAACUAGAAAACCUCAUGGAAACUGGAUUGAAUAUAUUGUUACCCUUGUAACCAUGUUAUGGUUUUUGAUCAAGAAUAGAGCUUUGUGGUAAACAAGGAACCUUUAAUGUACAGGGCAUUUUAAAUUGCAAGUCUUAUUCGUGUUAUUUCCACCCUAUCGUCAGUAUAUAAAGUGGAAGAAAAGCCCCCUUUAGCUAAUUCGAGACGCUUAUCUAGACUUGGAUUUGGUAAAGGGAAAGCUUUCUUUUAGUAGUUCAACUUAUGCAUCUCAAUUGCAAAAGAAAUCCCAGAAAUUUAUUGAAGCAAAGUGAAAUUGGUCUUAGUCUCAG